CAAUUUUGUGUUUGGCUCACAAAACAUAGAAACAAAAAAACAAAACGAAAAAAAAUCGAGAGACAAAAAACCUAAAAAAAAAUCUUCGUCUUCGUGAUAAAAGCAGUGGUUGUUGCUGCUGAUUCAGAUCGAGAAAUAGGCAGAGAUUGAGAGAUGAAAGCGACAGAUUAAGAGUUAAUCAGAAAUUCUGAACAUCUCGAUGGUGUUCGAUUAAAGAGUUGAUGGUCUUAUGGAUGAUGUUUCGAUCGGUGUUUGGUGAUUUAGGGUUUAAGAAGAAAUUGCAGAUGAACAGGAAUCCGAGCUGAAAUUGAUAUGGGUUUCUCGAGAUAAGGGUUAUUGAGAACUGAGAUUGAUGAUUUAGGAGAAUUGAAUAAUUUCAGAAACUAGGGUUUGGUUUCCUAGCUCUAAUCUUAUUUGUUUCCUAGCUCUAAUCUUCAAGAGCAUCAUCCUUCUGAGAUUUUCUAUCGGUUUAUUUAUUUAUACUUCAGGUGAUGCAAUCAAGUGUGAUUUGGGGGUUUAAUGGAUUUAACUCCUACAACAACAUAUACUUCAAUGCUUGAUAUAGCCUUUUCUCUGUCCAAUAUUGUGCCUUCGAUUGUUUAGGAUGUAUUCAUCUUGUUUCAGAAAAGGGUCGACCAACCAUGGACUAGAGUCUGGAUCAAAAGGAUGAAAAUGAUUUUGAGUACUUGGUACUCUUAUUCGACAGACAGUCACUCUGAAGGCGACCUUUUUUUCUUCGACUUCUUCAAAGAGGUCUGCAGAGUUGUGUAUGCUUGGACUUACUAUUGGAGCAGCACUAGGUACUGAGCGAGAAUACAAGUCCCUUAAAUAUGUCAAGACCAGCACUAGGGAAAAUGUCAAGACCACCAAGGAGGGGAGCAAUAUUGAACCUCAAUUCGCAACUGUCAAGUGAUGGCUUUGUUGUCCUCAGUUUGGUCUUUGCAGCUAUAGUAAGCCCCUGUCCAGAUGCUUUGGUCAUGCUACCACCUGUUGCUCCAGGUGCGCAAGCCUGUUAGAUACUGGAGUGUUCCAUAUAUUAUAGCGUUGAAGUAUAAGUGCUGGGCAUGUAGAAGAGUCCAGGGAGAACUAUGACAUUCAAGCAGAUGUGUUUCUUUUCAAUCACUUAAAGAAGAUAAAGAUGUAUCUUAAGUACUACAUCAAUGACAAUGGUUAUACUAUGAAGGUAAUCCGGGUUGCUUUUUCUGACAACCAGGGUGGGCUGUCAUGUUAAGCAUUCCGUCGGUGCAUAUGAAUCCUGCCAAGCACAAAUCGAGAUAGCAAAUACGAGUUUGAGAUUCAUUAAAAAGGUUAUAUUAUUUUUCAAUAUGUAUAAUGUGCAGUCUGUGAUGGUGUAAUUGAAUAUUCAAGUUGUUUUUAGAUUUGUUUGAAUUUGCACAUAUCUAUUCCCUCGACCUGAUGUGGUAAGGGUAUUUUUGCAUUUAUGUUGUCUGUGAUUACCAGUAGGAAUGUAUCUAAUGCAAGGUGUCUAAUUAUUAUAUGGACAUGUUAUUAUGAUUUACAUUAUAACUAAUGUUUAAGUGGAUGUCUACAUUAGUUGCGUCGAUCAUGCUGGAACUUUAAUUCAAUUCCAUCCCGUUUUGAUCCCAUAUCUAUGACUAACGCAAGAAAGUGCAUACUUUUUUUUAGACUUAACUCACUGAUGCCCUGUUAGUCCUAAUAUUCAUUUCCGUGUAAGGAGGAAGAUUGCUACCAGCCCACCAGGGUACGUACCAGUCCUUUUAUUUUUCCAUGGUAAAUGGCGACACAUUUUGUGAAUAUAUGCCAACGAUUUAGAUCUCUUUUUUAGCUCUAGAAACCGGUAACAUUUUAUAGUGUAAGCAUUUAGAUUGUGUGGGAGUUGGAAAAGCAAGAGCGAUAAUUAGUUGCACAUAAGGAUAAUCGUUUAACCUUAUAUUAAUAUUCAUUUUUCUUUCUUAUGCUUACGCGUAUUGCGGCAGCCAUAUCCAUUUUCUUCUUUUUAAAUGCGUGAACCCUCUUUUGGUAUUGUAAAAAUGUAAAAUCUCUUGUUUCAAUUUUUUGUUUAGUACUUUCUCUGUCAUGUUGGAGCAAAUAGAAUUUGUUGUACGUCAGCUUAGAAUGCUGGACAGUUUGCAGAAGCCUUGGAUGUGACAUAUGGCAUUCCAUUUUCGUUGAUCUAAUUUCAACUUAAUCCUCUGGUGCAGGUCAAGGCAAAGAGCCAAAGAGCGGAAUAGGCAGAGAGGAAGUCUUUAUACUUCUGUUCGUACAAACAGGAGAUUUCCUUUCAAGAAAACUGGCAAGGUACCGCAGUUUUUCUUACUUUUUCCUUUCAUAAUGUAGCUAUUCAUAGUCUGUAGGCUUCUAAUUUGUGCAAAUUAAACAAGGCAUCGGCAAAGUGUUGGCUUUUGACGCAUUUAUUUUGAAUAAUGUUUUACAUCUUGGAAGGACUUGGGUGAGGCGAAGCCGAGCUUUACCAAAUCAAAUAGGGACUUGGGCGAGGCAAAGCCGAGCUUUACCAAAUCAAAUGGGACUUGGGAGAGGCAAAGCCGAGCUUUACUAAAUUAAAAAAAGAGGUUGUGAAUUGUGAUGCACUGUAUUUGUAGUUUGUAGUUGUAGAUUGAAUUGGUGAACCAAGUUUGCGAAG